GAAAAUUUUAACAUAUUAUCAUAAUUUGAAUGAAAGGUGUUGAGUCAGACUAAAUUUUGAAAUUUCGAAUUUUCUCAAAAUUUUGAUUUUUAAUAAAUCUAUUUGAUUCAACAUUUGUGCAUUUCGCUUUUGUAUAUUCAGUUGAGUUGAGUACAUUUCUUAAACCCAACCAAUAGAAAAUGUGGCAUCACUACCGUGCGCAGUCUCACCAACACUCUUGGUGAGUUCGUACUCGUUGCUUCGCACGAAUAAGCACAAAGCAAGGACGAAAUUGAAUAUAUAUAUUAUACAUUAUCUGUGUUUACUUCAGUGGAAGCUAUUCGCAUUUGAGAGUUGUUGAAAAUAUGGUGUAUAAUAAAAUACGAAAUAUUUCUGUAGCACACGAUUUAUGUGAUGAAUUUAUGUAAUUAAAAAUAGUGAUUAUUUAAAUGUACUUAAAACACUCUAAAAUAAAGAAUAAUUAUUUUAAAAAUGGUACAAGUAAUUUAACGACACAUAUUCGUAUAUUUACAAGUGGAAGUCAGAAGUUGAAGUCGAAAGGUAGCUGAUGAAAUGUUUAAUGCAAUGUAAAUCAAAACGAAAACACAAAUGUCUACAUAGAUAGUGACUGCGGCGCUAAUUUGUCUAAUGAAUAGGCGAUACAUGAAAUUUAAUGUACCAAUGAUAUGGCGAGAACCUACAUGCCACUCAGAAGAUUGUUAUAUUCGUAUGACAAAAGUACUUGGCUUUGGAAAAACAAGAAAAAUGAUUUAUGCUAACGUACCUACCGUUUCAUUGCCAGUUCCACAUACAGCUGAAGUUGCGUAUCCAGUGAAAUAUGGGAAAUCAAGUUCUAAUGAAUUUUUGAUGGAAAACGAGAGAAACCUUCUAUCACAAGCGCAACUAAACGAUUGGAUUAGAGAUUUGGAAUUAUCCAAGGAAAAAGCUGAGCUACAUGCCUCCCGUAUGCAACAAUUUCAAUUCGUGUCACCCCAUGUUAAGGUGACAUAUUAUAGAAAUCGUCACGAACCAUUUGCCAAACACUAUACGAAGGAAGACAAUGUAUGCUAUUGCAAAGACAUUCCAGGAUUAUUCAAAGAGUUUGUUCAUAGACAGCAAUAAACUUAGCUUGAAGGCCGUAUUACUGCAUAAUGGCAACAAAAAGCCCUCGAUCCCGAUCGCGCAUGCAGUAAACACGAAGGAAACAUACGAGGCAAUGGAGAAAUUGUUAAAAUUCAUCAAAUAUGAAGAGCAUGAUUGGAAAAAAAAAUGAAAAAAAAAAACAAAACACAUAAUCAUUUCGACUAUAAUGUAAGAACAUCAACUUAAGACAAAAAUAACACAUUGUUUUAAUAUAUAUUACUAAUAUAUAAAUAAAUGAGUUUAUAAAAACUAAAAACGACAUGAAAAUUGACUUUUUACUUAACAGAAACAGCGCAUAGCCAGAUAUCCCACCCCUACUUUACACACUACAUACGCAUAUAUGUACGUAUACAUUGACUUUGCGCGACUUGGAUAUAUUUAUUUGAUCAUGUAUAACUUUCCUAUUUAUCCAUGGAUUUUGUUCGUUGGUAGCUUAUUUUUUUCUAAAGAAAUAGGACUUCAUAUGAAAUAAAAAAAAAAAAAAAUAAAAAUAUCUUUUGUUUUAAAAUUUU